AAAAAGAGCAAGAAGUUUUUAAAAACGUACCUUUUGUAUCAGGGGAGUUUAAAAGUUUAGUUAAAAGUGGAUCGAUUUAAGCAGAACUUUGCAUAAAAGAGCUGUAGUUAGAUUUAUAGUUUUAACGUGGUAGGAGGUAAAAAAUUUACGGUGCUUAUGGUAUCUAUUUGUUUUUUUGUUGAAAGGUAAGUUUUCAAGGGUUUAAUUAGAUAAAACUGAUGAGGAAUUAGGCUUUAUAUCAGCCAGAUUAUUAAAUUGUUUUAAAUAACUAAAAAAAAAAAAGAGAAAAUUAAAAUUUAAAGACUCAGUCUAGAGGCAAAGAUAGACUUAAAUAAUGAGCUUAUUGAAUAUAUAGCGGAGCCCUAAAAUAACUCAUGAUGGGUUAGAAUGUUUAGCAAAAACAUUUUCUUUUGCGGUAAAAAAGAUAAGACCUGCCCGGUGAUUUUUAACGGCUGCGGUAUUUUGACUGUGCUAAGGUAGCAUAAUCACUUGUUACUUAAUUGGUGACUGGAAUGAAAGGUUAAACUAAGUUAUUUAGUUUGUGGGGCUAGUUAGAAUAUUAAAGUCAAGGUAACAAUUCUUUGAUGUACUAGGGGACGAUAAGACCCUAGAAGCUUGACAAUAAGGGUAUUUAUUAGUUAUGAAUACUAGCUUGUUUUACUGGGGCGGUAAAGGUACAUAAACUAUUAGGUUAUUGAGAGAUCCUUAAUAUGAAGAUAAAACGGAAAAGUUACUCUAGGGAUAACAGUGCAAUGUGUUUGGAGAGAUCUUAUCGAUAAACCCGUUUGCAACCUCGAUGUUGAAUUAAAAUAUCUACGUGAGGUAGAAAGUACGUGAGAGGGUUUGUUCAACCUUU
rnacentral:rRNA from 1 species